rnacentral:rRNA from 1 species
UACGUAGGGUGCAAGCGUUGUCCGGAAUUAUUGGGCGUAAAGGGCUCGUAGGCGGUCCAUCGCGUCGGGAGUGAAAAGCUGGGGCUUAACCCCAGUCCUGCUUCCGAUACGGGUGGACUAGAGGUAGGUAGGGGAGAACGGAAUUCCUGGUGUAGCGGUGAAAUGCGCAGAUAUCAGGAGGAACACCGGUGGCGAAGGCGCCGCUCUGGGCCGAAACUGACGCUGAGGAGCGAAAGCAUGGGUAGCAAACGGG